rnacentral:rRNA from 1 species
AGUGAACGCUGGCGGUAGGCCUAACACAUGCAAGUCGAACGGCAGCACAGUAAGAGCUUGCUCUUACGGGUGGCGAGUGGCGGACGGGUGAGGAAUACAUCGGAAUCUACUUUUUCGUGGGGGAUAACGUAGGGAAACUUACGCUAAUACCGCAUACGACCUACGGGUGAAAGCAGUGGAUCUUCGGACCUUGCGCGAUUGAAUGAGCCGAUGUCGGAUUAGCUAGUUGGCGGGGUAAAGGCCCACCAAGGCGACGAUCCGUAGCUGGUCUGAGAGGAUGAUCAGCCACACUGGAACUGAGACACGGUCCAGACUCCUACGGGAGGCAGCAGUGGGGAAUAUUGGACAAUGGGCGCAAGCCUGAUCCAGCCAUACCGAGUGGGUGAAGAAGGCCUUCGGGUUGUAAAGCCCUUUUGUUGGGAAAGAAAAGCAGCAGGUUAAUACCCCGCUGUUCUGACGGUACCCAAAGAAUAAGCACCGGCUAACUUCGUG